rnacentral:rRNA from 1 species
UACGUAGGUGGCGAGCGUUGUCCGGAUUUACUGGGCGUAAAGGGAGCGUAGGCGGACUUUUAAGUGAGAUGUGAAAUACUCGGGCUCAACUUGAGUGCUGCAUUUCAAACUGGAAGUCUAGUGUGCAGGAGAGGAGAAUGGAAUUCCUAGUGUAGCGGUGAAAUGCGUAGAGAUUAGGAAGAACACCAGUGGCGAAGGCGAUUCUCUGGACUGUAACUGACGCUGAGGCUCGAAAGCGUGGGGAGCAAACAGG